UGCCCGCUCACUCCACUCUAUGACGGGCGCUGAUCGGAAGAGGAGGUUUAUUUACCGUGAGGCUCGCGGUGCGGCAGCGUGGAGACCUGCCGUAAUGCGGAUCGUUCCAUUCAGCGGACGGCCGCGAGAUGACCCCGCGUGGGCAGGAUCAUCAGAGUCAAGCUUAUG
rnacentral:ncRNA from 1 species